UGAUAAUUUUAAUUCAGUCAUCAGCAAUCAUGUCUCAGACUGUUGUCCUCAAGGUUGGCAUGUCAUGCCAAGGCUGUGUUGGAGCUGUGAAUCGGGUGUUAAGCAAAAUGGAAGGUUUGUCAACUUGCCUAUUCUUCUACUAUCCUUCAUUUGAUUGUUUGUCAUUGACACCACUGACUUUGAAACUAUCAAUGAGGAAAAUCUGUGCCCCCUGACCAUGUUGAUUAUGCUCUUCGGAUGUGCAAUAUAGCCUUUUGCUGUAAUAUCUUGUCAGAAGUGUGCAAAAUCUGGUGGCCACCUAGAGAAAUUGGUUAGCUGAGUUGGUGCUUGAUUUUACAAAUGAUUUCUCAACUGUCAAAUAAGCCUGUCCCAGAACUUUCAUGUUCUUGUAAAGUAAUAGAAGUGAAGGUUUGUUGAUUGAUUAGUCGUUCAGUGCUUAUUUCAGACUGCAUGGUAGCCGGCUUAAUAAUUCCUGACUUUGCACCAGGCCAUAGUUUCAAGUGCUAUUUUGAUCAAAAGAAACUAGUGAUAUUUGCAUUCAGCACUUGGCUGUUUCUUUGUUAAUUG